rnacentral:rRNA from 1 species
AUUGAACGCUAGCGGGAUGCCUUACACAUGCAAGUCGAACGGCAGCGCGGACUUCGGUCUGGCGGCGAGUGGCGAACGGGUGAGUAAUGUAUCGGAACGUGCCCAGUAGCGGGGGAUAACUACUCGAAAGAGUAGCUAAUACCGCAUACGCCCUACGGGGGAAAGGGGGGGAUCGCAAGACCUCUCACUCUUGGAGCGGCCGAUAUCGGAUUAGCUAGUUGGUGAGGUAAAGGCUCACCAAGGCGACGAUCCGAAGCUGGUUUUAGAGGACGACCAGCCACACUGGGACAGAGACACGGCUCAGACUCCUACGGGAGGCAGCAGUGGGGAAUUUUGGACAAUGGGGGCAACCCUGAGCCAGCCAUUCCGCGUGUGCGAUGAAGGCCUUCGGGUUGUAAAGCACUUUUGGCAGGAAAGAAAUCGCACGGAUUAAUACUCUGUGUGGAUGACGGUACCUGCAGAAUAAGCACCGGCUAACUACGUGCCAGCAGCCGCCGUAA